UUUGGACCUGAUAUCAGACAAGACUACCCGCUGAAUUUAAGCAUAUAACUAAGCGGAGGAAAAGAAACUAACAAGGAUUCCCUCAGUAACGGCGAGUGAAGCGGGAAGAGCUCAAGCUUAAAAUCUCCACGCAAGUGGCGAAUUGUAGUCUAUUGAGGCUGUUGUCAGCACAGCGACCUGGGACAAGUCCCUUGGAAGAGGGCAGCAUGGAGGGUGAUACUCCCGUCUCUGCUCAGGUUGUCUGUGUGUACGAUACGCUUUCUUUGAGUCGAGUUGUUUGGGAAUACAGCUCA
rnacentral:rRNA from 1 species